rnacentral:rRNA from 1 species
UACGGAGGGUGCAAGCGUUGUUCGGAAUUAUUGGGCGUAAAGCGCGCGCAGGCGGCUAUUUAAGUCUGAUGUGAAAGCCCCGGGCUCAACCUGGGAAGUGCAUCGGAUACUGGGUAGCUUGAGUACGGGAGAGGGAAGCGGAAUUCCGAGUGUAGGGGUGAAAUCCGUAGAUAUUCGGAGGAACACCAGUGGCGAAGGCGGCUUCCUGGACCGAUACUGACGCUGAGGCGCGAAAGCGUGGGGAGCAAACAGGAUUAGAUACCCUGGUAGUCCACGCCGUAAACGAUGGGCACUAGGUGUCGCGGGUAUUGACCCCUGCGGUGCCGAAGCUAACGCAUUAAGUGCCCCGCCUGGGGAGUACGGCCGCAAGGCUAAA